GACGAACGCUGGCGGCAUGCCUAACACAUGCAAGUCGAGCGAGUUGAUUUCUUCGGAAUGAAGCUAGCGGCGGACGGGUGAGUAACACGUGGGCAACCUGCCUCAUAGAGGGGAAUAGCCUUCCGAAAGGAAGAUUAAUACCGCAUAAGAUUGUAGUACCGCAUGGUAUAGCAAUUAAAGGAGUAAUCCGCUAUGAGAUGGGCCCGCGGCGCAUUAGCUAGUUGGUGAGGUAACGGCUCACCAAGGCGACGAUGCGUAGCCGACCUGAGAGGGUGAUCGGCCACAUUGGGACUGAGACACGGCCCAGACUCCUACGGGAGGCAGCAGUGGGGAAUAUUGCACAAUGGGGGAAACCCUGAUGCAGCAAUGCCGCGUGAGUGAUGACGGCCUUCGGGUUGUAAAGCUCUGUCUUCGGGGACGAUAAUGACGGUACCCGAGGAGGAAGCCACGGCUAACUACGUGCCAGCAGCCGCCGUAA
rnacentral:rRNA from 1 species